AGUUACACUCCCAAACCCCUGUGAACAUACCACUUGUUGCCUCGGCGGAUCAGCCCGCUCCCGGUAAAACGGGACGGCCCGCCAGAGGACCCCUAAACUCUGUUUCUAUAUGUAACUUCUGAGUAAAACCAUAAAUAAAUCAAAACUUUCAACAACGGAUCUCUUGGUUCUGGCAUCGAUGAAGAACGCAGCAAAAUGCGAUAAGUAAUGUGAAUUGCAGAAUUCAGUGAAUCAUCGAAUCUUUGAACGCACAUUGCGCCCGCCAGUAUUCUGGCGGGCAUGCCUGUUCGAGCGUCAUUUCAACCCUCAAGCACAGCUUGGUGUUGGGACUCGCGUUAAUUCGCGUUCCCCAAAUUGAUUGGCGGUCACGUCGAGCUUCCAUAGCGUAGUAGUAAAACCCUCGUUACUGGUAAUCGUCGCGGCCACGCCGUUAAACCCCAACUUCUGAAUGUUGACCUCGGAUCAGGUAGGAAUACCCGCUGAACUUAAGCAUAUCAAUAAGCGGAGGAAA
rnacentral:rRNA from 1 species